rnacentral:rRNA from 1 species
UACAUGCAGUCGAGCGAAUGGAUUAAGAGCUUGCUCUUAUGAAGUUAGCGGCGGACGGGUGAGUAACACGUGGGUAACCUGCCCAUAAGACUGGGAUAACUCCGGGAAACCGGGGCUAAUACCGGAUAACAUUUUGAACCGCAUGGUUCGAAAUUGAAAGGCGGCUUCGGCUGUCACUUAUGGAUGGACCCGCGUCGCAUUAGCUAGUUGGUGAGGUAACGGCUCACCAAGGCAACGAUGCGUAGCCGACCUGAGAGGGUGAUCGGCCACACUGGGACUGAGACACGGCCCAGACUCCUACGGGAGGCAGCAGUAGGGAAUCUUCCGCAAUGGACGAAAGUCUGACGGAGCAACGCCGCGUGAGUGAUGAAGGCUUUCGGGUCGUAAAACUCUGUUGUUAGGGAAGAACAAGUGCUAGUUGAAUAAGCUGGCACCUUGACGGUACCUAACCAGAAAGCCACGGCUAACUACGUGCCAGCAGCCGCGGUAAUACGUAGGUGGCAAGCGUUAUCCGGAAUUAUUGGGCGUAAAGCGCGCGCAGGUGGUUUCUUAAGUCUGAUGUGAAAGCCCACGGCUCAACCGUGGAGGGUCAUUGGAAACUGGGAGACUUGAGUGCAGAAGAGGAGAGUGGAAUUCCAUGUGUAGCGGUGAAAUGCGUAGAGAUAUGGAGGAACACCAGUGGCGAAGCGACUUUCUGGUCUGUAACUGACACUGAG